UACGUAAGGGGCAAGCGUUGUCCGGAUUCACUGGGCGUAAAGCGCGCGUAGGCGGCUUGGUAAGUAGAAGGUGAAAGCUCUUGGCUCAACCAGGAAAUUGCCUUCUAAACUGCCUCGCUUGAGGAUUUUAGGGGAGAUUGGAAUUCACGGUGUAGCGGUGAAAUGCGUAGAUAUCGUGGAGAACACCUGUGGCGAAAGCGGAUCUCUGGAGAAUUCCUGACGCUGAGGCGCGAAGGCUAGGGGAGCGAACGGG
rnacentral:misc_RNA from 1 species